rnacentral:rRNA from 1 species
AAUAUUAGUUAAAUCUUUAAACCUAAAGAAUUUGGCGGUAUUCUAUUCUUUUCAGAGGAACCUGUUCCGUAAUUGAUAAUUCACGAUUUACUUGACUUUGUUUAAUUGUUUGUAUAUCUCCGUUAUCAGAAUAUCUUUUCAGAGAAUAAAUUUUCAAUUUUUUUUAUUAGAAUUUAUUUCAGGUCAAGUUGCAGCUUAUGGCGAAGGGGAAAUGGGUUACAAUAAUAAUUUAUUAAACGGUUAUUUAUAUUGAAUAUUAAUAUUUAAGGUGGAUUUGAUAGUAAUUUGAUUUAUUUAAAUUUAGUGACAUAAGCUCUAGAGUGUGU